rnacentral:rRNA from 1 species
AUUGAACGCUGGCGGCAGGCCUAACACAUGCAAGUCGAACGGUAACAGGAAGAAGCUUGCUUCUUUGCUGACGAGUGGCGGACGGGUGAGUAAUGUCUGGGAAACUGCCUGAUGGAGGGGGAUAACUACUGGAAACGGUAGCUAAUACCACAUAACGUCGCAAGACCAAAGAGGGGGACCUUCGGGCCUCUUGCCAUCGGAUGUGCCCAGAUGGGAUUAGCUAGUAGGUGGGGUAACGGCUCACCUAGGCGACGAUCCCUAGCUGGUCUGAGAGGAUGACCAGCCACACUGGAGCUGAGACACGGUCCAGACUCCUACGGGAGGCAGCAGUGGGGAAUAUUGCACAAUGGGCGCAAGCCUGAUGCAGCCAUGCCGCGUGUAUGAAGAAGGCCUUCGGGUUGUAAAGUACUUUCAGCGGGGAGGAAGGGAGUAAAGUUAAUACCUUUGCUCAUUGACGUUACCCGCAGAAGAAGCACCGGCUAACUCCGUG